CCGCUGGCCUUUUUCCCCCCCUCUCCCUACCCCGCCCUGGGCGCCUGUGGCGCGCGCCGAUGACGCUAGAAAGGAAGAGGAAGUCGAGGAUCCGCGAGCGGGUGGGUGCGCCUCGGGCUGCGGGAGUCUCUGCUGCCGCUGCCGCCACCGCUGCCGCCUCUACGGCCGCGUCAGAACUGAAGAGAGGAAGGGGAGGAGCCCAGCUGAGCCUAAACUGCCGCCUGAUCUUACCCCUGACCCGAGGGCCGCAGAGAGAGUUUGCUCUGUAGCGGUUUCCUCCGAGGCAGGUAGCGACUGCUCCUUUGGGAACAAGAAGGAGCCAGGCGGUGGGGCCGGGCUGGGGCGCGCACCACCCCAAGGUGAGGCAUGUGGCCCCGGACAGGCCCUGGAAAAGCCAACUCAUGGAGAAGUUGUGCUACUGCCUGAUCGUUGCACCUGCUCUGGGGAGCGAGCGCCCCGCCCUUCCCGUGGCGUGGGGUGAGACCUAGCGCGGGGUGACUUGCGGUCGGGCCGAGCAAAGGUUUGCUUAAUGAACGAAUGCCUCUUUCGCUUGGCCCUCGCGGAACUCUUCGGAGGAUGAAAGCGCAAGCGCUUUGUAAACUGCAGCGCGUUGGAAAGAUGAGAAUUGCAAUGCACCCGUCCCCUCCCCCGAGCCGUGAAAGGAAACAGGGAAAUUAAUAGAUGAUGUCCUGAUCUGGAGGACUAUGACCCAUCCAUAUGCGCAUGCUAUCUCUGAGGAAAUGCAAGAGCUCAGCGUGGCUGCAUCUAAGGAGGCCACCAGAUGAGAAGGGAAGAAAUCCAGCAUCUCCACCUCAUCAUUAUUUUCAAGUUUCAAGGAGCCCUGUCCACCAUGCUGGGCACAGAUCUAGGCAUUCUGCAAAGAUAUUAAGUCCUGAGUACUGGAUACUACACCUGUUUUGACAUACUCUACCCCAUGGAGUCUUGUGUUCUGCCCUCCUUGAUCCCGCAAUCUUAAGGUUCAUCUCCAGGCACAUCUCUCUGUUACUGGAGCUGCUGUUGGGUCCACUGCUGGUUGAGCUGAAGAGCCAGAGGGGUCUUAUACAUCACAAACAUGGUGACCCCAACCCAGCCCUGUGGAUGGGGGCAUAGAGAAGAGGACUGGGUUGACCCCUGAAAGAUGUCACUACACUUGGAGUGACGCUGCUAUCAGCAAGUGUGUAGAGAUGACCUGUUCCUUUGUCCUUGGAGCGUAUUCUUCAAAGGAGAAUGACUGGGUCUCGGAGCUGGAACAGUUUCCUGAGCUAUUCCUGAGACUGUGAGCUGGGUCUUGCUGACUCUGAGAGAGGAAAUCAGCUACCGGUCUGGCAACUCUCAAGAAUCUCUUCCUUAUCUCCCUGAUAUCCUUUUGAAGUCAUGGCCUCAGGGGGACACUGAGGCCCAGAGAAGUAGAGCAGGUCAGCUGAUGGCAGAGCCAGAGCCCUGUGGGAG
rnacentral:lncRNA from 1 species